CAAAGAAGAACGGAGACAGUGUGCAGCAGAAUGUGAAGAUGACGCCUGUCGUUGGACAGGGAGGUAAAAUCAGGCACUGUGUGUCUGUUAACAGGCCUUUAAAUGACCAUAACAAGACAGAAAAGUCCUGUGAGCGAGUCCAGGCCGAAUCACAGACAGGUACCAGAGUCACAGUGUUUACACACGAUCUGAUGGUGUGAUGGUCAGAGAGUAAUAGAUGCAUGAUAUGCAAAUCACCACUCAAUUAAACUAUAAUCAGAG